rnacentral:rRNA from 1 species
CGAUCUGGCUCAGGAUGAACGCUAGCGACAGGCUAACACAUGCAAGUCGAGGGGCAGCACGGGAGUAGCAAUACAACUGGUGGCGACCGGCGCACGGGUGAGUAACGCGUAUGCAACCUACCUAUCAGAGGGGAAUAACCCGGCGAAAGUCGGACUAAUACCGCAUAAAACAGGGGCACCGCAUGGUGAUAUUUGUUAAAGAGAUUCGCUGAUAGAUGGGCAUGCGUUCCAUUAGGUAGUUGGUGAGGUAACGGCUCACCAAGCCGACGAUGGAUAGGGGAACUGAGAGGUUGGUCCCCCACACUGGUACUGAGACACGGACCAGACUCCUACGGGAGGCAGCAGUGAGGAAUAUUGGUCAAUGGGCGGGAGCCUGAACCAGCCAAGUCGCGUGAAGGAAGAAGGAUCUAUGGUUCGUAAACUUCUUUUGCAGGGGAAUAAAGUGCAGGACGUGUCCUGUUUUGUAUGUACCCUGAGAAUAAGGAUCGGCUAACUCCGUGCCAGCCGCCGC